CUUCGUAUUCGAUUCCUUCUCCAGCCUCCAGUCCGCCAGUCCUCCUCGGCUCCUCCUCUAAACUCUAGCAGAGCUCGGCUAGUCGGCUUCUCCACUUCAAGUCUCAGAGAUCAAGAGUUCAAGACAUCAAUAGUUCAGUCUUCCUCCCCAAAGUGCUUCGAUUCCUUCUCCAGUUCGUCGCCUCCAGUCCUCCUCCUCUAAACUCUAGCAGAGCUCGGCUUCUCCACUUCAAGUCUCAGAGAUCAAGAGUUCAAGACAUCAAUUUCGUUUAAUUGAAUGUUGUAUUGGAUUGAUGAUUUCAUGGAUUGAAGAAUGAAGGUUGUCUCUUGGUCUGGAAAUCUGGUCAGUGCCUCAGUGGGUUUACUUAAAAUUGUGCAAUUGAGUUUCUGCAGCAAAUAUGGCAUUCUGCUGUGCAAAUGUGCAAUUGAGUGAUUUGAGUCUACUGCUUUCUGAGGUAUUUUUUUCCUUUCUGUUCAUUGUGCAUUAGUAAUUAAGGUGGAUUUGGGUAGGUGGUUUUAUUCAUGAUUGAAUGGUGGAAAGAAUAAUAGUAAUCAGCUACUGUUAGAGAAACAUAUAUACUUGAUCAGUUGAUCGAUUACUAAACAAGAAAGUAGGGACCAAUUAUAUAGGUUGAGAAUGAGAAAUUUCCAGCUUUUGGUAAAAGAAUUAGAUGGAUAGGGUUAAGCAUCUUCUU